rnacentral:rRNA from 1 species
UACGGAGGGUGCGAGCGUUGCUCGGAAUUAUUGGGCGUAAAGCGUACGCAGGCGGCUCGAUAAGUCGAGUGUGAAAUCCCGGAGCUCAACUCCGGAAGUGCAUUCGAUACUGUCAAGCUUGAGUGCGGGAGAGGGAAGCGGAAUUCCUGGUGUAGAGGUGAAAUUCGUAGAUAGUCAGGAGGAACACCUGUGGCGAAAGCGGCUCACUGGACCGAUAACUGACGCUGGAUGCACGAAAGCUAGGGGAGCAAACAGG